rnacentral:lncRNA from 1 species
UUUUCUAUAAAAAUAAAUAUUAUUUUUUUAGUUACAUUUGGUUCAGGUAUAAAUAAGAACGAUCUAUUUCAAGAAUAGAUAUAAGUUCAAAUAUAAUCAGAAAUUAAACCAAUUUAUUCAUUCCUAGAGCAAGUGACAAAGCUUGUGUUUGGUUCGGGAUUAAGGGGUGGGAUAACUCUUAUUUCCAAACAUGAUUUUAGAGGGUGGGAUUAGCUAACUCCACCCCAUCCAACUACUCCAACCAAACAAAAUAUUAUUUUACUCACUAUUCUUUUUAUCCCAUCUACUUCAACCAAACACUAUUUUUUUUAAUCCUGAACUAACUCCAAUUCUCAAUCAAACACAAAAAUAAUCUAACACCACCUUAACCCUGAACUUAACCCUAUCUUUGGAAUAACUAGUUUUUCCUUAACCCCAAACCAAACGGUAAUAAAGCGUUUGGUGGUUGAUACCCGAGAUCCUAAUUUCGAAUUCUAAUUAAUUCACUAAACGAAACGGGUAGCGUGCUACCUGUCUCUCUCAAAAAAAAAAAAAAAAAAAAAAUUAAACCAUUUUAAAUUAGGAUGAAAAUUAGGUUAUUCUUAGGAAUAAAAUAACAGUGUUUGGAUAACCAAUUUUAAAUUUGGAUGAAAAUUAGGUUAUUCUUAGAAAUAAAAUAAUAGUAUUUGGAUUGUUUGUUGAACAAAAAAAAAUAAAAAUAAAAAUUUUAAAAUAAAAUUAUUUUAUCUAAAUAAUUAAUAUUAAAAUAUUAAUAAAAAAUAAAUAAAUUUAUUAGCUAUGAAUAUUAUAUAAAAUAAUAAAAAUAUAUUAAUUAAUUAAUUAAAUAUAAAAAAUAAUUUGAUUUUUUUAAUUAGUUAAUAAAUUAUUUUAACUAGUUAAUUAAAAAAAUAAUUAGAUUAAUAAAAAUAUUAAUGGUUCAUCAAUAUAAAUAUUAGUUUAUGUACAAAUACAUUAAAUUAUGUUAAGAAUUUUAUAGGUUGGCGAAUUUCGUAAAGUUGGUUGGAGUCUUGAAGAGUUGAUCGCAGAAGUUUUGAAGAAAAGAUUCAAAUUGAAAGAAUAAGACUCAUUCGGAAAGCUCGACACCCAAGGUAUAAAGAAAAGAUUAUUUGUGGUGAAUAUACCUAAUUAGACUAAGUUCAGAAGGUUUAGAUUACUUCAAAAACUCUUUACUGAACUUUUCUGUGUUCUGGGACCGGUCCCUGAGGUCAAGAGACCGGUUCCUCUAAGGUCCUCACUGCGUGAACCUUGAUGCAACCGGUCCCCUAUAAUGAGAAACCGGUUCCCGAACCAUGGUGUUUCUGUCGCGCAGGGAGGGAUCGGUCUCAAGCUUGAGAGACCGAUUUUCGAACGUUGGGAUUUUUGUCACGCAGCGAGGGACCGGUUCCUCACUUGAGAGACCGGUCUCUCACAGACCGGUCUUCCGGUCUCUUAGGACGACACAGGUUUUUAAAAAGGACUUUUUGCAAUCCUAGUCUACUUCUAAGUCUUCUAAACAUAUAAAUAAGCUAUGUGGGUCAUCAAAAAGUUUAAGGUUUUGAAUAUUUACUGAUUCUAAACCCUAGAAACUUAUUUUUCUCCGUUCAAUGCUUCGAUUCACAUAAUGAGUUUCUAAUAACCAACAAUCGGCUUGAUUCUUCGUUUUUACUCGAUACUUCUUACGAGAAUCAAGUAGAUGGUUGAUUAAAGGUGAACCCUCAUAGCUUAUGGUUUUCAAAAGUUAAAUCACCACAAAUCUUCGAUUCUACAAGCUCCGGAAGGAGGUUCGGCGCGUGGAUCUUGCGUGAAGCCGAGGAUUCGGUGGACGCUUCGAGGAAUUGAGGCGUUGACGCUGCGAGGAGUUGCAGCAAGGUCGAUUGGAGGAUUCCUAUCGAUCGAGGACCGGCGAAGAUCGUCAUCUACGGGAAAUCGGUAAAUUGAGUCGUGUGUUUUGGUCUAAAUCACUUGUACUCAUGUUUUCUUAAUGGAUUUUCUUUGCGUGAUUGAUCCCGUGAAUUUUUUACUCCGAUUUGGAGUUUUCCUACGUUAAAUUCUCGGUGUGUUCUUUUAUUUUCCGCUAUUUUGUUUUAUUUGCAUCGAGAUUUUUGAGUUUGCCGUUUUUACACCUAUUCACCCCCCUCUAGGUGUUACUUACCUUUUAGAUCCUCGGGAUCCAUAUCUUACAAAUUAUUAAUAAUUAAUUAUAAAUAAUAAUUAAUUAAUUAUUUUAUUAUUUAAGUAAUAAAUAAUGAUUUGAAUGUAUUAAUUAGAUUAAUUAAUAAUUUAAUACUAUAAUUAAAAUUAAAUUUAGAUUUUAUUAAUCUUAUUUUUACUUGGGAACAAGCUUGUUUCUUGAAAAAUGAUGGAAUAGCAGUUUCAGUCUUUUACCAGAUUAUUUUAAAAAUCUGAGAACUACUGUUCUUGGAUAUCGAACACAGUGUUUGAAAAUAAAUAGGGGAACAAGAAUUUAUUCCCCCCUUAUUACCGAGCCAAAAUUUUUUAACACGUUCUUGAUAGACGGACGUGAUUUAACAUUCUUGCAUUUUGUUAUAUAUAAAUAUAUAACAUACGAGAGUUCCGGUUUAAUCCUAAUUUUAAUUUCUGUAAC